rnacentral:lncRNA from 1 species
AAGAACUAGAAAACUCAAAAGAUCGCCACUCUUCUUGUGAGGAAACCAACAAAGGGAGAAUGUUGCACUAUGUUACCCAAAGAGAGGAUCAAAACUGCACUAAAACACAACACCAAGAAACCAAAUUUUAAUCAGUUGAACAACAAGAUAAUGGAUAAAAAACUAAAGAAAGUUUAAACGGUAAGCAUAAUAAAAACCACGUACCUGGGAUGCAAGAGAGAAAAAGGAGAGCACGAAGACAAUGACGUUAUGAGAAACGACAAUGCAAUGCCGCAAGAGAUAAAAAGUAGAGGUGUGCAAGCGAGUAAAAGAAGAGGAGAAGCAGAGAAAAAGAAGAAGAGAUGAAGACACGAUCAGAAACUGAGUGGUUAGAAGGGUCUCGGUUUAUUUAAAAUGAAAUUGGGCGUCGGUUGUGCUAGAAAGCGACGUAUAUAGACGUCGGUGUUUCAAGGGACACUACAAAAAAAAAACUUAUUUAGAGGGGGUUAUUUAGAGGAGGUUAUGAAAAACCCCCUCAAAUUAAUAUAUUUCAUAAUGUUUAAUUUAAAUCAUGAAGGUGUUAAUGAUAACGGGAGUUUUAAUGAUUUUUAAAGGAGGUUUAUAACCCCCUCUAUUUCAAAGGAGUUUUAAUGCUUCGAGAAUGUCCUAAUUUUUUACGUUUCUGUCUCAUUGAUCCCGACACUCAUCUCCUUCUCAAAAUCACACUUGAACCCUAAAAUCCCUUUCAUUCCUUUCUCGCUUUCUUCCUCGCAGACUACACCCUUAUUUCUUUCUCGUUUUCUUCCUGAACCCUAAACUCAUCGUCUCUUCCUCGCACUGACGGAGCUG